rfam:Triticum urartu cultivar G1812 contig381158, whole genome shotgun sequence.
GUACUACUCCCUCUGUUCGAAAAUACUUGUCAUUGAAAUGGAUGUAUUUAGACGUAUUUUAGUUCUAAAUAUAUCUAUUUUCACUUAUUUUAAUGACAAGUAUUUCCGGAUGAAGAGAGUACCUC